UACGAGGGGCCCAAACGUUAUUCGGAUUUACUGGGCUUAAAGAGUUCGUAGGCGGCGCGGAAAGUAGGGUGUGAAAGCCCUCGGCUCAACCGAGGAAUUGCGCUCUAAACUACCGUGCUUGAGGAACCUAGAGGUGAGCAGAACUGAUGGUGGAGCGGUGAAAUGCGUUGAUAUCAUCAGGAAUACCGGAGGCGAAGGCGGCUCACUGGGGGUUAUCUGACGCUGAGGAACGAAAGCCAGGGGAGCAAACGGG
rnacentral:rRNA from 1 species